UACGGUCAUAUCACGUUGAAACACCGGUUCCCUUACGAUCACCGAAGUUAAGCAACGUUGAGUCUAGUCACUGCCAAGAUGGGUGACCGCAUUGGAAUACUAGGUGCU